GGGGUAGCAAUACACCGGCGGACGGGUGCGUAACGCGUACACAACGUACCUCAAAGCGGGGGAUAGCAUUGGGAAACUGGUGGUAACCCCCCAUAGUGUUGUUUGAUGGCAUCAUUGGACAACUAAAGUUUACACUUUGAGAUCGGUGUGCGUCUGAUUAGCUAGUUGGAGGGGUAACGGCCCACCAAGGCGACGAUCAGUAGGGGGUGUGAGAGCAUGACCCCCCACAUGGGUACUGAGACACGGACCCAACUCCUACGGGAGGCAGCAGUAAGGAAUAUUGGACAAUGGGCGCAAGCCUGAUCCAGCCAUGCCGCGUGAAGGAUGAAGGCGCUCAGCGUUGUAAACUUCUUUUGGACGGGAACAAUACCCCCGACUUGUCGGGGCUUGAGGGUACCGUCAGAAUAAGCACCGGCUAACUCCGUGCCAGCAGCCGCGGUAAUACGGAGGGUGCAAGCGUUAUCCGGAAUCACUGGGUUUAAAGGGUGCGUAGGCGGUGUAGUAAGUCAGUCGUGAAAUCGCUGGGCUCAACCCAUGCAAUUGCGAUUGAUACUGCUACACUUGAAUGGGGUUAAGGCAGGCGGAAUGUGGCAUGUAGCGGUGAAAUGCAUAGAUAUGCCAUAGAACACCGAUUGCGAAGGCAGCCUGCUGGGCCUUUAUUGACGCUGAGGCACGAAAGCGUGGGGAGCAAACAGGAUUA
rnacentral:rRNA from 1 species